CAACACGUGACUGAUGAGCACCACCCUCACUACUUCCACAGUGCUGACUAUGCUUCCAAUAUCGGCUCCUCAAGCAGAAGUAGGCCACAGGCAUGCCAGCAGUCACACGGCUUUGGAACCACCAGAGGCGUCAUUCUACUCAUCUGGAAGACUGUAAAGAAAGACACUUACUGCGUAAGAAGGGCAGCUGAGAGCACACUGGUACUGUUGGUACUUUACAGCUGAGCAAGAUGAGGAACACAGGGUUCAGACACGAGAAAAAAGUCCCAAUAGAUGAACUUCUUCCGGUCUUGCAUGGCUUUGUAGCCCAUGCAGUGUUUGUUAUGACGGUUUGGAGGGUUUGAAAUAAAAAGCGUUGACUUUGAGUCUGGAAUAGUUCUUUUCCUCGGCACUAGAACAUUCCAAAAACAACUGGUUCAGAGAUACUAUGUCCCUUAUUGCCAGGCAACUUCUGCUGUCUAUAAUUUUAUGGUCCAAGCUGGAUUCACAUAUGGAGAACGUAGUAGAAGGGACAAAGAUGGAUGGCUGCUGUCUGGUUUUAAUUCUUAAUUUAUCUUACACACGGUUUUGAGUUUCCAUAUAGAAAGAUAGAUGAUUUUGUAUAAUUGUUACCAUAAAUAAGAUAUAGAACAGUCUGUCACAUUCCCCACAUCCCAGACUCCUUCCUUUGUUGUCACAAUACAGCCAUCUCAACCUUGGACACUCACCUGUUCCCUUUCCUUAAAGCUUUGUCUCUUCGAGAAUGCAAAUGGGGUCAAAUGGAGCCACGAGUGUGUACCUUUGAAAGACUAACUUAUUUUCCAUAGGAGGCAGCAGGUGACAUUGCACACUGAGGACACGAUAGUUCACUUCUUUAUACUGAUGAGUAUGACUUCAAGUCAACAUGAGGCAUUAUUCAUCCUUUCACCUGCUAAAGGACAUUGUGGUUGUUUCUUGUUUGGCACGUUUAUGAAUAAUGCUGAUAUAAAUGUUCAUGUACAUGGUUUUGCUCUGAGCAUAAAUUAUUUCCUUCCUGCACAGGCAUGCUAUUGUUAUGCUGUAGGAUAUAUUAGUUAUACUUAAAAUUAUAAGAAACGUCAAAACAGUUUUCAUCCCAGCCAUACGGUCUUGCAUUUCCUUCUUUCUCUUGUGGCAGAUCAGCUUAGUGCGGAGUCUCUGUAGAGGUUAAAAUUACGGCAUUUUGUUGGUUUUGCUGUGAUUCUUUUGAGGUUUUGCUAUUGGACGGUUUUCCAUGGCCAUCCUAAUGGGUAUGUGUAUGGUAGGCUUCGGUUUGGUGUUUUGUUUACACUUCCCUAAUAUCUGACAUCAUUGGUCACCUCUGAAGUGUUUGUUUAACAUCUUGCAUCAGUUUGGCUAGGCAGCACCCAGUUACUUGGAAAAAUAUAUCAGGAUGGUUCUCUCAGUGUGUCUGCCAGUUGUAUUUAUCGCUGAGAUCAAUAGACUCUGGAAAGCCACCUCUCAUCCAUCAUGCUGGAGGGCCUCAUCUACUUAAUUGAAGGCCUUCAGGAGAAGCAUGGGCAUUUCACAGAGAGCAGGAGGCCUGCAGUUUGCUGCCUUGGCACCAGUCCUCUUUGCAUCACUCCCUGCUGGCUUAGGAAAUGCUGCUUUCCAUAGCUGCCUGAGCCACUUCUUUGAAUUAAGCAUCUCUUUCAAGAGAAAGGUCCUGUUGGUUGUACUCAUCUGGAGACCCUUGCUAACGUGCUACCCAGACCUUUUCCCCAUAUUUUAUACUCUGUGGUGUGUGUGUGUGUGUGUGUGUGCGUGUGUGUGUGUGUGUGUGAUUAUUGCAUUUUCCAAAGUGUCUUUGAGACUGGAUAAAAAUUACUUUACUAGAUAUGUUGUAUUCCCAUAUGUUCUCCAGAAACUGGCUCAUGAUAAAAUUCUCUUAGGAGUGUCUUUCUCAUAAAAAUGUUUCCAUUUAUAUGAGGGUCACAUUUUUCAUUUUUUUUUCUUUCAAGGAUCACAUGUUGCGUAUCACACAUUUAUUUCAAGUCAAGGACACGAAGAUCUCCGGAGGUUUGUGUGUUUAUGUUUAGGAUUCACUGGGCAGCGAGGUUACAGCGAGGUUUGCCUGUCACACGAGGCAUGGAUCCAAUCUGCACUUUGCCUUUGUACAACUCAUAUAAGACUUUCCUGACACUGCUUACUGGAAAGACUCAUCCUUGCUUUGUGGGAUUGACUUGCGUCUCAAUUUAGUAUGCUGGUGUGAGCUUGUGCCUAGGCUUGCUAUUCUGCCCAGUGAUAAUGUGCUUCUAUCACUUUCCCAGUGUCACAUCUUUGAUUGACCCAGGUUUAGAAUACACUGCGGAAUUGAAUAGCACAGGCUCUCCUGUUCCACCCAUCAGCAGGGAUGCAUUACCAUAUACUCAGCCAAAAGCACAGAGGUGAAUGGGAAGCAGCCAGCUCCCCAAAUCUCAGGGUGUUCUGGAGAAGCAUGCGGUUAAUCCCUCUGCUGCAUCAUCAUCUUGUAUGUGCUGUGGAAGAGAUUUGCAUUUGUGAGCAUAGUUUCUAUACCAGGGUCUGUGGGACGUUGCAUGCACUAAAGGGAACUUCAUAGGCUCCAAAAUUGUGUUAAUAUCUAACAAACCUCACUAAUGUCAUGUGGUUAUCAUUUAUUGUAUCAUAAUUUUGUAAAGUAUUAUAUGUCCUUCUUCUUAGUUGGAGUUUUAUCUUCAUCAGUAAAUCUAGCUUUGUCAUUCAUAUUAGAAGUUUAUAUUAGGUAAAAAUUUCCAAGUUAUUAAAAUGUAAAAUAAUUAUGUAUCAAUACAUAAUAGGAUAGAUAAUAGCUUUCAAAACACAAUCAUUGUGAUGUCAGUAGGCUUCCCUUCACUUAGUUUCUUUUGAUAGAAAAUAACAAAAUGUCAAAAAUCUGACUCAGGUUUUAAAUAAUUUCCAAAAAGGGACAUUUAUUGGCUUUUAUAGUUGAGAAAACAUAUUGCAUUUGGUGCCAGGGAUGAAUUUGAAGUCUGGUGGGAUUCAAAGUUAUCACCAGCUGGCUGUGUCUCUUCACUCCUAUGCAGCAUGAACAUUGCUGUCCCGGUAGGAAAGAUGCCAUCGGGAGGCAGGCAGUCAGCAUUCACAUUAGUUACUGGAAAGGGUUGUUCCUGCUGGGACUGAAUGCCCAUCUAGAGGCAGCUACCAAUUAAUAUGGUAUGAAGUUUGGUACAUCAUGAAUUACAGGCCCUCCCUUGUGAACAUGAUUUGUCAGCAGAUAAAGAGAGUAACAAACAGAGUGGGGUGCGAGUAAUGGCUACGCUUAUUCUGUGGUCCCUUCUCUUGGUGGUUCAGAGCCGUUAUCUUCCUGUUGCUGUGGUAUAACACCAUGACCAAAUGCAAAUGCCAGGGAGGUAUGGCAGCACAGUAAGCAGGAAAAAAAAAAAAGGGAAGCUGAGUCAGAUCUCAACUGCAAGCACAGAGCAGAGCCAAAACUGAUAGAAGAGUGAGUCUGUAAGACCCCAAAGCUCCACCCCCAGUGAUAUACUUCCUCCAGCAAGGCCACGCCUCCAGACACUUCCCAAACAGCAUCACCAACUAGGGAACCAAGAGUUUAAUUUUUUUUUAGAUUUAUUUAUUUUAUGCAAAUGUUUAUGUUGCUUGCAAAUAUGUAUAUAUGUCUAUGUACCACAUGCAUACCAUGUGCCUGUAGAGGUCAGAAGAGGGUGACAGAUCCCUCUUGGAACUGGAGUUACAAAUGGUUUUGAUCUGUCAUGUGGGUCCUGGGUAUUGAUUCCUGGUGCUCUGCAGGAACAAGCACUCCAUGCUCAGAGCCAUCCUUCCAGCUUUAUAGGAGCAAAGCAUUUAAAUCUCAGAGUUUAUGGGGGGAUAUUUUUUGUUCUAACAAAAUCAUCCUGUCUGUUUUUUUUUUUUUUAAUUUAUCUCUAUACAUGUAUCAUCCACCAGCCUUUUUCUUUUAUAAUGACCCAAUUCAGAGAUGUUUCUCUGAAUCAUUCCUAACAGGGAAAUCUAUACUUCUUUUCAUCAGGAGCUCCAAGUUGUCACUUUGUGUUCUCAAGUUGUGAAUAUUUUCCAUCCUUUGAGCUAGAAAGAAAUUCUCAGUUUCAUUGUAGCUGCAGGUGGUGUGGGUAUGAAUGGAAAAGCUACCUGUGUUUUCUUUUCUCUGUCCCGUUACAUUGUUCCAGCUGUGAUAUAGACAACCCUGGACUAAGUUUCAGUGUUCAUUUGAAAUGUUAUGGUUUGUUACUUUUAAAAAUAGUCAAGCUACAUUUACUUCGUUUUUACCUAUCUCUUAGUAAAUAUUUGUUAAAUGGAUUACUGAAUUGUUAGUGUCAGAGAAACAUUAUUUAUUAUCACAUAUCACUAAAUAAUGUAUAACUAUUUUGUCUGCUUUCACAAUCUUGCCAUUUCCAGUUUACACACAAUCUUAUAUAUGUGUGUAUAUGUGUGUUUUGAAGUCUGCUUUUUAAGCUAAUUUCAAUUUUUUCCUUUCUGUCCAGUAACUUAUGCCUUUUUGGUUACAGCAUUGCUAACAUAUUAAUUUUUAAAAUCUGAAGGAAUUCUUCCUUUUCUCUUACCUUUCUGUCAUUUCAUAACCUACACGGUUUCAUUGUAUCUGUGAUAUUCAAUUCACAAUAUGGGUUUUUUUUUUCUGUUUGAAAAUAAAAUCACAGAUAAUUCAUGCUUGCAAUCAGUUUGAUUGCUUUAAGUUCUACUGAGUACUAAGGCCAUACCCACUCCCCAGACACCUUCCUUCAUGGCCACUCAUGGCACCCUCUGCCUAUCACCACAUGCUCUCCCUUACCCGUGCAAUAUUCUCUCUUAGAGAACAAUUUCACCUCUCCUUCCCUCUUCCUCCUCCACCUCUCUCUCUGUUUGUCUCUCUCCCUCCCUUGCUCUCUCAUCUUUGUAAAUACUACUCCAAAGGAUAGGUCUAAUUACAUGCAAUCUACCAAGUUAUAUGCUGUAUUCAUUACCAUCUCUUUGUAUUUUGAUAAACCCAGUUCAUAACCAUUCUUGGCAUAAGGAAAUACUGAAAAUUUGCAAAGCAAUAAGAAUAAAGAACGGAUCUGUUAGUCUCUCUCUCUCUCUCUCUCUCUCUCUCUCUCUCUCUCUCUCUCUUUAGAACUUGCGUACCUUUCCUCAGGUUAAAGUAUCAUUUAUUCUUUGCCUCUUGUGGUAAUGAAUAUAUGUGAUAGGCAUCUUAUAAAGGGUCCCAAGAUGAUCGUGUCUUCUGCUCAUAAAAAAAUAAAACUUGCCUCAGCAUUGCAAGGGUGUCAUGUCUGGGACUAGACUGUGGGAUUCGCUUGCUAGCUGUCUCUCCUGGGAUGAUUUUCAUAAAACCAGCUUCAAUAUUGACAGGUAUCCUAUGGAGACUCAGCCUCCAGCUGAGACCCAUCACAGAGCUCAGCAUAGCCAAUGGUGUAAGACUGGAGGUGUUCAUCUGCGUGGCUGGCCUUCCUGGGACAUUUCAGUCCUAGUUAACACCUUGCUUGCAGCUCUGUAAGAGGCACCAGGACAAAGGACCUUUUAUGUCAUUGCUGUGUAGUUGGUCCAUAACAACUGCAGUUAUAUAACCAAUACGUGUGGAUAUCUGUUGUGGAGCAACAACACGUAGGGAUAGCCACCCGAUUUUUUUGUGCAUUUAUUUGUGCAUUUACUUCUCUACAUAUUUCUGUCAUCAUACUUUUUGUAUCUUAACCUACUCCGUGUAGAUGACUCUAACUUUUUAUCUGUAUACGCAUACCCUGAGUUUCAUAGUUAAAACUCUAUUGUCCUAUAUGUUCCUCAAGGUGACAAUGUCCAAAACUUAAAAUUCCACCUGCUUCUUCUCCUCUCUUUGCUGCUUUGGGCAGUUAUAUCAACGUUUAUUGUUUAAGCCCAACACUUGGAAUUGUCCUGGAUUGAUCUGUCCUCCCUGUGAUAUUCCUAAGCAAAAAGGUAGCAUUUCUACCUUUGUACGCGGUAACCGUAUGAUAGUUAAACUCCUUAUUACAUACAGCCUGUGGUCUUGCGUGGUCUGCUCUGGUUGCAUUGCUUUUCCUUUGUUCUAUCUAAACCAUCAUCAGCCUGCAGGUCUGUGGGUUCCUACGAUUUCUCCCAGUCAGCUGCUGUCGCUUUUUCCAUGUUCUGGAGUGUGGUGCACUUCCAACUCUUCAUGACUUCUCCUGUUAUAUCUCAUUCUGCCAUGCUUGUCUCCUACAUAUUCCACCCCCUCCAUUCACCCCCACUUAUCACUCCCACUGCAGUUCAACCCCCUUUCUCCAGGAAACCUUCUUAGACCAUCUUGGUAUGUUUGCCAGCCCACCUUCUUUUUCCGUGUUGAGAUAGCCCACACUGAGCAACAUCUCCUGAGUUACUCUUAUGCUUUUGCUUGCUCCCUUCCUGCCUGCCUGCCCGCCAACCCGCCUACCCGCCCGCCUUUCUCUGUGACAAAUGUUUGAGAACACAAUCUAAGGAGAAGGAAUCUAUUUGAUUCAUGGUCUCAGCCCAGAGUUAGCUUGUUCCAUUGCCUGUGGGCCUGUAUUAAGGCAGAGCACCACUGUAGACGGGUAUAAUAGGACACAGCUACUUAAUACCCGCUAGGAGAAAAAAAAAGAGAGAGAGAAAGCCAGGAAGGGCCUUCCACACUACAGCAAGAGGUCAUGAACUCCCUGGGGUUGGCCUUUUAGCCGAUGCAUAACAAAGAAGAAUCAUUAGGAAAUAAUGGAAGAUUUCAGCAGAAAUUGAGAAGAGAUGCAUGGGAAUAUUGAUUUUUGGUUUUCCAACUAGCUCUCUCUUCUUCCUUUAUCCUUCUUCCCCACUGAAGUAAUUUAUGAAUUUUCUCAGGACCCAAUGACUCACUCACGGGAAGACAGAAGUAACUCAUUUACAACACAGAAUUUAUUUUCUCGGAUGAAAGAGGCGACUCCUCUAUUAGAUUUUCUCUAGACAACAGGUGUCCUAGUGUGCUUUCUCUCGCUGUGAUAAACACCAUGACCAGAAACAAUUUGGGGAAGAGAGGAUUCAUUUGUCUUACACAUAUGGAAGACGGUCCAUCACUGAGUGAAGUCAGGGCAUGAACUCAAGUCACAAACAUGAAGGUAGGGAUUGAAGCAGAGUACAUGGAAGGAUGCUACUUCCUAGUUUGUCUCCCUGGCCUUCUCAGCCUUACUUUCUUAUGCACUUAGGACCUCAUGUUCAGGGAUGCCCAGAUGGGGCCCCACAUCAACCCUUAAUGUGGAGAAACUGUCUCAGUUGAUGUUCCUCUUUCCCAAAUGACUCCGGAUUGUGUCACUGACAGACAACUAGCCAGCACAACAGGUGAAAGUUGGGACAGAGAUACAUUAUGAGUUUUGCUUCUUUAGCUCUUUUAAAGACAGGGAUUGGAUGCACAUAGCUGUCAUUUACAUUAGAAAAGUUUCACUGGAGCUCUGCAGACGAGUAUACACGAGACCUCCUCCGUAAGAAAGGGAUCAUCAGAAUAAUUCACAGUCGUGCUAACUCCUAAAGCUGAGCGUGAAUGCACAUGGAGAGCAGUAAGAUUAAUGGGUCUACAGACGAAAGUGAUAAAAAGAUGCAUAUCUGCACCUGCUUGUGUCCACCUUUAAUGUUGUUUGAAUUCACAGCUUUGAAAUUCCUUUGAGAAGUGCUGUUUGUUCAGAGACUACAUUUAAAUAUAGGAUCAGAGGCUCUGUGAGCCCAGCCCUCCAACCACCAUACCUCUUCCCCUGCAGCAAACUCCACAGCAGUCGGAGAGUCAUUCUGAGCACUGCUCUGCAUUGCAUGUAUUUUCAUUUCAGUUUCAUAAACACCUUCUACACCUUCAAAUAAGCACUGUUCUUGUGCAAGAUGCUGCUGCCAGAAAGCUUCCUUUUUGUGUAGAUGAAAGCAGCUCUGUGCCUUAGCGAGGGUCUCCUGGAUCAGCCGCGACAUCAUGGCAGUGCCAGCGGAUGCUUGGGAUGCUCUUCUGGGUUCCAGGAUGUCCUGGGUCGCUCUGCAGCUGCAGGGGGAGCACUACCACUCUACUAGCAAGGGCAGCUUGCAAACCAGAGCCGCUGCUCCAUAUGCCCCUUGGACCUCUGUGUUGUGUACAGCAUUUUGUGUCCGAAUUACUCUUUUGUUCACUACCUUAGUCUUGUGCCUAUUUGGAAUUUUAAUGAAUUGUUAACUCUUUGGUAAAUGCCAUAAAGAGACAUGGCAACAUUCUCAUCUAUAUAUUCCCUAAACUCCCAUGCAGGGCCAAGAAUUUAAAUAUACCUACGAGACAUUUGUUGAGAUGAUAUUUUCUUACGCAGAUAUUGUGAAUGACUGGGACUAAUUCCCUAGUAAUAUACUAAUCAUAUUCUAAAGCUUUCACUCCGGUUGCAUUGCCAGAAAUACUAUUAAGCUCCUGGCCUAUCCACUUCUCAACACUGAGAAGACAGGUUUGACAGAACGCGAUGAUUAAAAUGUUUAAUGUUCAAUUAGCCUUCUCGGAUCGCGUCUGGUGAAGGCACUGGUAAGCAAUUUAAGUUUGUAUUAUAGUGAAUAUUGUUUUACAGAAGCCUUAAGAGAGCACCUUGAAAAGGGCACUGCUGGCUUGAAACUUAAAAUAUCCAAAGCAUCACUUAGGAACUACGAAGUCCAGAUAAAAGGACUAUAGUGGGGGAAAAAAAAAAAGCGAGUGGCACAGACUAGAAAACUGAAAAAGGUGAUACAACAACUCCAAAUGAAGGAUUCAUUUACUCUAGCAGAAACAAGGAAAAGGUGGUCAAGGUGAAUGACUACUAAGUUUACAGUAGUCUAUUAACUUCCAAUAUUAGGAAUGCUGGGGAACUAGCAGUAAUUUUUCUGAGCUGUUACAUUUCAAAGACACAUCACAGUAGUAAGUAUAUAGAAUAUAGAUUAUGAAAUGUGAUGGAUUUCCAUCACUGAGAAGCCAAGAAUGUAUGCUGUGUUGAGUAUUGUGGGAAAAAGUCAAUGGUAGGCACUGGCAGAGUUAGGCGGGGGCAGGCAUUGUUAGUGCCUGGUGGUUGUAAGAGUGUGCACUGACUGUCAUAUGUCAGAAAUGCAGGACCGAUCACUGCACACAAGUGGAGCAAGCUAGGUCAUCAUCAAACUCUGCCACUGCUGAUCAGAUACUCCAAGCACCCAACCCUCUCAGGCUUGUGCUUGGCAGAGCUUUCAAAUCUUGCUCUUCCUCUCAGGGGAUGGCAUCCUCUUUCACAGAGCCAGAGAGGCUUCUAGAAGAAGACUCAGUAGUGUAACUCCAAGUCUCUAGUCAUAGGAAUCACUGAAGAAUGAGUGGUCUCACCAGCCAACAUUUUACCCAAUGUCACCUAAAAGUCCACACUGACUUCAGACUCCUUCAAAUGCUUCCAAGUAAAAUCUGAGAUGUCACCCAUUAGCUCUGGUCCUGCCUAGUCCAGUCACAGAGUUGAAAACCAAUGGUGUGCCAUCAUAAAUGUCUCUUACACUUUCAGUGUUUCUGACUCUUGAUGCAAUGUAAUUUCUUCUUCCCUUAUGAUCAUGGCCAUUGUGAACCUAUACCUUUGCUUUUGAGUAAAUUUUCAUUUUUAUGUGGCUUUAAAUUAUAGUGACUUCAACUGCAAUAGAAACAUGGGAAAAAAAAUCCAGGAAGGGCAGAUUCAUGAAAGAAGAAAUGUAAAUUACCAAUAUAUAUGCAAACAUGCAAUUUCCAUAGUAAUAAAUUAGAUGCCAAUUAAAAGUCAAUUUCUUUGCAUAUAUGAAGUUGGCAAGGAUGAAAAAAAAUGCCUUUAUUUGAAAGGUUCAAGAAAGCAAGCACUGUAGUAUGUUGGUACAAUAAAAGAAAAAAAUCAGAAAAAUGUUCAAAAAUUCAUGAACAGCAGUGUUUACCGCAUAGACAAAAUUGAGAAGGGGAAACUGUUAGGUGGAUUAUCAAGGAAUGUUGGUGAAGAUGGUUUAGAGGAAUUUAAUGAUAUCAGGAGAAACACAAUUUCUUGCUAACAAGACAGAGGCGGUUAUAGACCACUACCACCCCAUCCCCGUGCACACAUAUACACAUACAGGACAGUGUACUAGUGGCCAUCGUAUUUUCUGUCUUUUACAUUGUGUCUAACAAUGAAAACAUAUUACUUAAAUAAUGAACAAAGAUAUACUCAGCAGUAUAUCUUCCACCGUCUGAACCCCAUCCCUCACCAUUUUCCCUGCUGUUUGCUCUGAGAUCCUCGGGUGUUGGGGCCUUUCCCGUGGGGUCUCCUAUUAGACGCUUUGGCUGAGCACUGACAUUAUCAGGCUCUUGUGUCUCUUGAGCCUACGUACAUCGGCCUUGUCUCUGUUCCUGUUCAGGAUCACUCAGUCUCUGAACUCAAAUUGCACUUUUGAAUGUUUUUAUGUUUUUUCUUCCAUAUUCAGCAGCCAUUCAUAGCUGUGUGAUUACAGACUGAUUAGUAAGACAUUAAAUCCUUUCCCAACAUUAGCGCCCUUUACUCCACCAGAGAGUGUGUGACAUUUCCCGCCUUCCUCAGGAGGGAGCAGAGCCAUCACAAUCAGCUUCCACAAAAGAUGUCUAGGCCAAAGUGCAGCAAUUUGAAGUAAAGCUGCCACUCAAGAUAAAAGACCAUUCUAUGCAAAUUCCACAAAAGAUGUCAUGGUUCUGGGGGAAAGGUGAGCAUUGUGUGGAAAGUUUUAGAAGAAUAUUCAGAUUGUCAAGUGCUUCCCUGGACAUGGGAAAUGGUGCUACUGAAAGCAGUUCUCAAUUAUGAGUAGACAAAUACACGGUGCCUAGUGGAAGGUGCUGGCUGGUUCUGUGCAUCCAAGGCUGGUAUAGUCAGGAAUCACAGCCCAGCGCACAGAAAUAGGGAUGCUCCCACCCUGGUUAAAGUGAACAGUUUACUCCUGGGUACCACCAGAGCAUCCCUUAUUAUGGAUACAGAUCCUAGAAUAGGCCCCUCUCAUGUCCUCCACAUAUACCAAGUGACACCAGGCACUGCAGGUUCCUAUCCAAAGAUUUCCACCUCUUCUGAAAACAAAAAACAAAAAAGAAACAAACAAAACAAAACACAACCCCCUGCCUUUCCUGCCCCCCGACCCCCGACCCGGCAAACAUCUGCAGAUUUCUUUCUCCGAUUCUUUUGCUUUUAGAGUUGCAGCUAACCUCUCCUGGGGAAACGAAGAUUAUUUACAGGCUACCACUCAAGCACUUUCCUGCAAGACUACAGAGUGCCCUGUUAGGCGAAAAAGAACACGAGAUGGGAUGCAAGAUUCUAUUUAUGUUAAGGGGAGAGCAUGUACAGACACAAUCAAGAAAAUAGCGGUAAAUGGUUUUAAAAAAAUGUAUUGGGAAAAGAAGUAAAGAAUUGAGGGAGAAGGAAAGAAUAAAAUAUAUUCUCUUCUUAGAAAUAGAUUUGGUGAUUUGAAGAUGUCCAGAAUAUUAUUGACAAAUCGGCACUCCCUUUACGAAAGUUAAUAUAAUAAGAAAAACAAAGACAGAGGGGGAGAGAUUUUCAAGUUUAAGAUUUGAGAAGCAAACAGUAUAUUGUUUAUUUGGUUAAAAAAUUAAGCUUACAGUACUUAUUGCACAGACCCAAAGACCAAAUGGGAUGUUUCUUUUUGUGCUAUCUUACAAAACAACAGGCAUAGGUUUAAUCAAAAGCGACAUGCAAGCAUCUUGCUCUCACCACAGAUCACUGAGACAUUAAGAGUGACGUCUCUUGAACUGUUGGCACGCCUAAGUUAUUUCAGCAUUUCUUGCUCAGCAGUUGUUCUCUUGGCUUCCUCUGGCAAAAGCUGUAUCCUCUCUUCCUGGCUUAACUGAAACUAGACCAGGACUUUGCCCUCUAGUUUAUUUUCUUUCUAUGCAGAGAAUUUUUUCUCAAAAAUUCCAAAUAUGUUACAAAGAUUCAUGCUUGUCUCAUUUACUACCAGGCCCUGGCUGACCCAGCCAAUGGGAUGGAGUGAGGCCUGACACGUUGGACUUACCCAUAGAGCCUCCUGACACAGACCUCUCUUGCUCUUUCUGCACUGAUGAGCCAAACAGGAAGGACUCCAUGGCUUUGGAAGAAGACAAAUCAACAGGUCGAAGGUUGAGCUCCAUGGAGUCAAAGUGGCUGUAAAGCAGCAUGCGUGUGGAAUUCAUCGACCAGCUACUGGAACAUUGCGGUUCUUGUUACAUCUUUUCAGACUACCCUGACUGGAUAGACAUCCAGUUUAUCCUUGUAUUCAAAUCACCUGUAUUCAAACCUUAUUUCACUGCUAUUAUCUGAACUGUGGCGAACCACCUUACUUCUGUAUGCUUCAGCUGUUUAUGUGGAAUGACACUAAUAUUAUGUAUAUACCACAGAAUAUUAGGGGGAUCGACUCAAAUACUCAGCCCUUUAACACAGCUGCUAUGCAUAAAUUAUUGUUAUUAAUUUCCAAAGUCGACUCAGUUUGAGACAUCAUCCAAAUGUGGGUUUCUCAUGGAGUUGAUCAAGAACGUAAGCCGAGUUGUAAAAUGACAAGUUAUCUAAACAUGACACGUGAUGGUGAGAAUGUUGACUUUGAAAAAACGAAAGAAGAGGCAGCAAAAGAUAUCGGAGUGAGGAAGGCAGAAGAAAGUGUGCAAUUGAAGCAGCCUGGGCACUAACCUGACGCUGUUAAUAAGCCUGCAGAGCAAGAGCCCAGCCCCAGGCAGCAUGAUAAUCAAUUCUGAGUGCCAGCUGGAUUGGCGUAAGGAACACUGAUGGCAUUAACAAGGCAUGACUCUGCUGGCAAGGGUGUUCCCAGAGAGAGAGGUGUUCUUAGGAGGAAAGACCCAGCCUGAACGUGGGCAGCACCAUUCCAUGCGCUGAGGUGUCAGGAGAAAAGCCAGCUGAGCCUGACUUCCUCUUCUCUGCUGCCCAUUCGCCACCAUGGGCCAAGCUGCUCUUGGUACCUUCACUGCCGGGACAGAUCAUGUUCUUGUGAGCCCAAAUGCUUACUCCUGUGGCUGAAUUCUGUCAGUUGUUUAAACACAGAUAGGAGAAAUAACAAAUGUAGUUAAAGUGAACUACAAAGAUUCCACAGGCUGGUAAAGCCGUGUCCUGGGUAUCUUUUUGCCUUAAAUAUAACAUGCACGAAUACCUUGAUCCUUGUUUCUUUCAGUCACAAAAGCCCACCCUGUCUUGUUAACCCACCCUCAUUUCUCCUGUUAUAAAAAGAAACUAAAAUCUGCUACUCGCCCUUUGCCAAACGGUAAGCUUCGUUUUAAGAUGUCUAUAAAUAAAGGACUAUGUUCCCAGAGGACAAAGCCCCUGACCAGCUCACUGCUGUGCAUCUCAGUCUCUUGUCUGUACAUAAAUGAAUAUUACAGGUUCCAAAGUGAAUAAGCACCUGCAGCGAAGAUGGUGAGACCCUCACAAACACAAGUGAGGCAGCGAAGAUGGUGAGACCCUCACAAACACAAGUGAGGCAUACACAACCCACAUGGAAUGGGACUGGUAUUUAUGCAGGGCCAGUGACAGAUGUGCAACACAAGGAAACGAGCUCUUUGCAGCAGCCUGGGGGGCAAGGGUCUAUCAACACCCAGGUUUCCAUCCUUUUAAAGUUUCUCAGAAGAAACUGCUCAGGGUGUCAGCAAAUACCAGGAUGCGGCACUUGCCCAUCACGUGCUCUUCACCUGCGCCUGUCACGUGCUCUUCGCCUGCGCCCGUCACGUGCUCUUCACCUGCACCUAUGAGAUGAGCUUCUGUUCUUCUGCGAUCUCUAAAGCACGAACAGGAAGAGACCUAUUUGUAGAGAAAGAGGCACUUUGCUACCUCAGAAACAAUUUUGUGCCUAUUCGGAGAAGAAAAGGAUUUUAAAAAAAUGUAAGGGGCUUAAAAAAUGGCAAAAUGCGGUUUUCUGUAUUGUUACAACGCUCAAGGACAGCUCUGUUUCAAUGCCUUUGCAAUUUAAAUGCAAUUUUAUUCUGGUGGUGUCUGUAUGGUCAGCAAAAGCAAGCAACAAAACAGCACACUAUCCCUGAGCCACGGGGAUCAUUUGAAGAGCCCGAUGGAUAUAGUUUCCAGCUUCCCCACUUGUGACAGUGCCACGUAAGUGGACUCUCAAACCAUGCAUAUCAAUUGGAUCUUGUGGCACACUGGGUGUUUGUAUAUACUGCAGAGGAUGUGAGGCCUCCGACAGGAACUCACCCGCACACUGGACUACUCUCUCUGAGUCUUAGCCUUCCGGGUUAGUGAGCGGCCUCUCUCACCACGCAGCUCGCCAGAUGCCAAGGGCUGCCCAUCCUCAGUGACAAACAGUGAGAAACGUGCCCUCAUGUUCUCUAGAUGAACUGCAACAUCUCAUGACAAUAGAACACCACUGGUCUUAGCAAUACACGUGGAGAACGCAGCAGAUAGAGCGGAACUCAGGCUCUAUCCAAGUUGUACAAGACAACUGUAGAGUUCAGGGCAGGGAUGAUACCUCUGGUCCGAGGAGACCCUAUGCUGGUGGAGCCUGUGGGCCAUGGUAGAUUCUUCUAGUAAACCACAUGGGCAUCUCCCCUGGUUAUUAUUUAGCAUUUUAAAGGGCACAGUGGGAAGAGUAUUAGAGCAGGAGUCAGUGAUAAGACUUGGGUGUCAGGACUGUCAUCGGACCAGUUGAGCUGUUUCAGGUCCCCAAGUCUCACUCCUUAGCUGCAGGCACGGCGAUCAGACUGGCGGCUUUUCCAGGUCCUUGCAUCUCUAUAUAUUGGGUGCAUAGGAUGCUGAGCACUGGCUCCCGAAGUCACAGCGUCUCUUUACAGAAACAAUCAACGGAUGAGCUUCUGCCAGUUAGAAAUGCAGUUAAGGGUGGCCUCUUCCUUGUUCCGGAAUCGUGCUUCACGUGUCCUAACGCAUGCCACCUGCCACCGGACAAUGUGGCUGAGUCUCUCAUUUUACAGGGCAUAUUAAGUGCUUGAUACGUACAUACAUAUAUAUGUUGUCUUUUUUUCCAAGAAGGUCAUGAGUAAGCUUUUCUGAGGGCAACAUCCUUUUCUUAAGGUCAACAGGUUCCCAGUUCAGUUCACACGCUCGCUUCCCAGUCAGCUUGGUUCAUACUAAAACUGCAGAGGAAAAAAACCUCUCCUUACAUAGUGACCCUUUUCCCACAACAGCCCCUGCUCUAUGGCCGUGUAACAGAAACCAUGCAGAAUGUCGCCUCCUGGCUUACAGAGGGAACGGAGCCCAGCGCCAUGUUCCUCUGUGUGGCUUUCGCUGAGCUACAGGUGGUCGAGUCUGCUGACACUGAUUGCUACACUUGUGUGUCUGAUUGGUGACAACUGUACAUCUGAUUGUAUCCUCAGUUCUAGAUUUAGCAUCUUCUCUGGCUUUAUUCCUCUGGCCAGCCAUGCGGUGUGAUUUCAUACACACUCGGCAAUCAGCGCAUUUACUUUGGAUUUUUUUUUUUUUCCUUUUCAGGAUUCAAAAUGAAACCCAACAAAUUUCAGCUGAAGUCUAAAAUAAGGCUUUCUAUGAGUCACACAUCGGCAAAGGCUGUGGAAUCAUAUGCAUGCUUUCUCAUACAGUUGUAAGUACAUAUAUAUGCACUGCCCAUUCAUGUACUACAUGCACAAAUGGACUUCAUGUUCAUAAAGACAAACAUACCUUCAAAUUAAUUAUCAUUUUUGAUAGUUUGUCGCCAAGAUAAAAAUCAUCUGUCAAUUACAACAUCAAUAUGACUUAUUCAAAGGCUAACUUCAAAGAGACUUUAAAUACUUUACAUUUUCCAUUGUUUUUAAAAAGGAUUCUAAAGAAUUAGAAAUAAUAUUCUAUGACUUUAUUUAAAAAUAUUUCUUAGGAUAGAGUACUCCAGAGUCUCUCACUCUCUUGUAUGCCAUUGAGUUGUGGUGUCUGUGUGUACAUUUCCAUUUUUCUUUUCAUAAAUAUUAAUUAAUAUAUAGGUAGUUAUGUAGCAGUGCUGAGUGAGGUCAUUUAACUUUAAUGUUUGGGUGUGGAUAAAAUCUUUCGGUGGACUAGUACCUGCAGGGCCAACAGGAGCUUUGACUAAUGCUCGCCCUUGCCCACCCACUUGUCUCACUCUCUCACCAAGUCCAAGAUGGAGAAUUUCUCCUUCACAUGGGAGAAAUUAGACUUUGCAUUUCUACCAGAACUAAGGCUGGAAGAAAGGGACAGGAAAUGGAAGCAGAGAAAAGUAUUACUUCAGAGGAAAGCAACUCCUGAGCGUUGGUCAAAGCCCUCAUUGCAAAGGCACUCAACUGGGUCUUCAUGAAGUGCUUUUGGUUUCAUACUUUGCAAAAAAGGAGACAGACAACAAGGAGAAAGAAAGAGGAGGGAGGAGGAUGGGGGAGGAGGGAGAAGAAGAGGGGAGGAGGAGAGAGAAGAGGAGGAGGAGGAGAGAGAAGAGAAGGAGGAGAGCUGAGAAAGGGGGGAAGGAGAGAGAAGGGGGAGGGAGAGAGAAGGGGGGUGAGGGCCACUGUCUAUGCCAUUCCAGACGACUGCAGGCUUAAAUUUGGACGCUGCCUUUUCCACACACAGUGUGAGGAAAGCCCACACAAGAGGAAGCUAUAGCUCUCUUUAGGGAGGCAGGAGAGUAUGUUUGUUGAGUCUCUCAUCUGUAAGCACCAAAAUAGAGUUAGCCCACCACUGACUGGGCAGUGACACAAAUCAGGUUACACACUCCUGAAGGCAUUCAGAUAACUGAGUGUUCAUUUCAUGUAAAAGCAGAACUGCAUCACAACUGAGAGAAAACAACGCUCACAUUGAAAUUUUAACAUUGCUAUUAUUUAUUUUCCUUUAAGUGGGCAUCUUGAAUCACUAUCAGCUCUAAAAUCUAACAUUCAUAGAACUAAAAAAAAAAA